ensembl:lncRNA cell wall protein DAN4-like
GUAUGGAGCUCUUUUCAUCAGGACUAUUGUGAUUGCUUUCAGAGCUGUUGCCAGAACCCGAGCAGAAGAAAAUGUACAGGCAGAGCUUGAAUUAGUGUUUAGCCAAACAUCCACUGAACCGAUCCCCAGCAAUACUGACAUUGUGGAGACUCUGAAAGAAGCAGCUACAACUCCAAAUUCAGGCUUCAACCUCACUCUUGAUGCCACCACUAUUAAUGUCAUUAAAUCAGUGCAGAUAAUUCCGCUGACAAUCCUCACCAAUGGAACCUUUGUGGCUGCUCUUUCAAAUAAAAGUUCUACUGAAUUUCAGAACAGGGCUUCGAUGAUAAAAGCAGGGCUCGAACCUUUUUUCUUCGCUGAUUACCCUAAAUCAUUCAGCACCAUAUCCAUAACAGACUUCAGUCAUGCCAGUGUAAAAUUACGGAGCGUGCCCACAAUCCGAAACUCCAUGGAUCUUGUAUUUGGUGCGGACGCCGUUCUACCUAAUAGCACCCAGAUAGUGAACACUAUAGUUCGAGCAACUAGAAACAACACGUUACCCUUCCAGAUCUUCACUUCUUCAAUUGUGGUAAAUGGUACAGAACAUUCGUCAGGUGAAGUCAGCAGCAGGAUCAGUGUGUUGACCGCUUCAGUUCUGGUUGCUGUGUCGCUUCUGGUUCCACGGUUUAACUGACCGUAACCACUCAUGCCAAUAUAACUGAUUCAGACAGGUCUGAGUCUUCCUUGCCUUCCACGCCUGCUCACAUGAAGGACUCG